GGUGGCUUAGUGGUAGAGCGCUUGUCUUGCAUGCAUGAGGCCCUGGGUUCGAUUCCUCAGUACCA
rnacentral:tRNA from 1 species